rnacentral:rRNA from 1 species
UACGUAGGUGGCAAGCGUUGUCCGGAUUUACUGGGCGUAAAGAGCGCGCAGGCGGUCGUUCAAGUCGCGUGUGAAAGCCCCCGGCUCAACUGGGGAGGGUCACUCGAUACUGAUCGACUCGAAGGCAGGAGAGGGAAGCGGAAUUCCCGGUGUAGUGGUGAAAUGCGUAGAUAUCGGGAGGAACACCAGUGGCGAAGGCGGCUUUCUGGCCUGUUCUUGACGCUGAGGCGCGAAAGCGUGGGGAGCGAACAGG